rnacentral:rRNA from 1 species
UUCCUAUGAAAUCGAGUGGGCAAACGGGUGAGUAAACGCGUAAACAACCUGCCCUUCGGAUGGGGAUACAGCCGGAAACGGCUGCUAAUACCGAAUACGAUCUUUUCGUCGCAUGACGGAAAAGAAGAAAAAGGAUGGCCUCUAUACAAAGCUAUCGCCGAAGGAGGGGUUUGCGUCUGAUUAGCUGGUUGGAGGGUAACGGCCCAACAAGGCGACGAUCAGUAGCCGGUCUGAGAGGAUGAACGGCCACAUUGGGACUGAGACACGGCCCAGACUCCUACGGGAGGCAGCAGUGGGGAAUCUUCCGCAAUGGACGAAAGUCUGACGGAGCAACGCCGCGUGAGUGAAGAAGGUCUUCGGAUUGUAAAGCUCUGUUAUACGGGACGAAAAAGACGGAUGCCAACAGUAUCCGUCCGUGACGGUACCGUAAGAGAAAGCCACGGCUAACUACGUGCCAGCAGCCGCGGUAAAU